CGUAGGGUGCAAGCGUUAAUCGGAAUUACUGGGCGUAAAGCGUGCGCAGGCGGUUUUGUAAGUCUGAUGUGAAAUCCCCGGGCUCAACCUGGGAAUUGCAUUGGAGACUGCAAGGCUAGAAUCUGGCAGAGGGGGUAGAAUUCCACGUGUAGCAGUGAAAUGCGUAGAUAUGUGGAGGAACACCGAUGGCGAAGGCAGCCCCCUGGGUCAAGAUUGACGCUCAUGCACGAAAGCGUGGGGAGCAAACAGGAUUAGAUACCCUGGUAGUCCACGCCCUAAACGAUGUCUACUAGUUGUCGGGUCUUAAUUGACUUGGUAACGCAGCUAACGCGUGAAGUAGACCGCCUGGGGAGUACGGUCGCAAGAUUAA
rnacentral:rRNA from 1 species